rnacentral:rRNA from 1 species
AAAUUGAAGAGUUUGAUCAUGGCUCAGAUUGAACGCUGGCGGCAGGCCUAACACAUGCAAGUCGAACGGUAACAGGAAACAGCUUGCUGUUUCGCUGACGAGUGGCGGACGGGUGAGUAAUGUCUGGGAAACUGCCUGAUGGAGGGGGAUAACUACUGGAAACGGUAGCUAAUACCGCAUAACGUCGCAAGACCAAAGAGGGGGACCCUCGGGCCUCUUGCCAUCGGAUGUGCCCAGAUGGGAUUAGCUUGUUGGUGGGGUAACGGCUCACCAAGGCGACGAUCCCUAGCUGGUCUGAGAGGAUGACCAGCCACACUGGAACUGAGACACGGUCCAGACUCCUACGGGAGGCAGCAGUGGGGAAUAUUGCACAAUGGGCGCAAGCCUGAUGCAGCCAUGCCGCGUGUAUGAAGAAGGCCUUCGGGUUGUAAAGUACUUUCAGCGGGGAGGAAGGGAGUAAAGUUAAUACCUUUGCUCAUUGACGUUACCCGCAGAAGAAGCACCGGCUAACUCCGUGCCAGCAGCCGCGGUAAUACGGAGGGUGCAAGCGUUAAUCGGAAUUACUGGGCGUAAAGCGCACGCAGGCGGUUUGUUAAGUCAGAUGUGAAAUCCCCGGGCUCAACCUGGGAACUGCAUCUGAUACUGGCAAGCUUGAGUCUCGUAGAGGGGGGUAGAAUUCCAGGUGUAGCGGUGAAAUGCGUAGAGAUCUGGAGGAAUACCGGUGGCGAAGGCGGCCCCCUGGACGAAGACUGACGCUCAGGUGCGAAAGCGUGGGGAGCAAACAGGAUUAGAUACCCUGGUAGUCCACGCCGUAAACGAUGUCGACUUGGAGGUUGUGCCCUUGAGGCGUGGCUUCCGGAGCUAACGCGUUAAGUCGACCGCCUGGGGAGUACGGCCGCAAGGUUAAAACUCAAAUGAAUUGACGGGGGCCCGCACAAGCGGUGGAGCAUGUGGUUUAAUUCGAUGCAACGCGAAGAACCUUACCUGGUCUUGACAUCCACGGAAGUUUUCAGAGAUGAGAAUGUGCCUUCGGGAACCGUGAGACAGGUGCUGCAUGGCUGUCGUCAGGUGAGACAGGUGCUGCAUGGCUGUCGUCAGCUCGUGUUGUGAAAUGUUGGGUUAAGUCCCGCAACGAGCGCAACCCUUAUCCUUUGUUGCCAGCGGUCCGGCCGGGAACUCAAAGGAGACUGCCAGUGAUAAACUGGAGGAAGGUGGGGAUGACGUCAAGUCAUCAUGGCCCUUACGACCAGGGCUACACACGUGCUACAAUGGCGCAUACAAAGAGAAGCGACCUCGCGAGAGCAAGCGGACCUCAUAAAGUGCGUCGUAGUCCGGAUUGGAGUCUGCAACUCGACUCCAUGAAGUCGGAAUCGCUAGUAAUCGUGGAUCAGAAUGCCACGGUGAAUACGUUCCCGGGCCUUGUACACACCGCCCGUCACACCAUGGGAGUGGGUUGCAAAAGAAGUAGGUAGCUUAACCUUCGGGAGGGCGCUUACCACUUUGUGAUUCAUGACUGGGGUGAAGUCGUAACAAGGUAACCGUAGGGGAACCUGCGGUUGGAUCA